CUUGAUGAACGCUAGCGACAGGCUUAACACAUGCAAGUCGAGGGUCAGCACAGGUAGCAAUACCGGGUGGCGACCGGCGCACGGGUGAGUAACGCGUAUGCAACUUACCUAUCAGAGGGGGAUAACCCGGCGAAAGUCGGACUAAUACCGCAUGAAGCAGGGGCCCCGCAUGGGGAUAUUUGCUAAAGAUUCAUCGCUGAUAGAUAGGCAUGCGUUCCAUUAGGCAGUUGGCGGGGUAACGGCCCACCAAACCGACGAUGGAUAGGGGUUCUGAGAGGAAGGUCCCCCACAUUGGUACUGAGACACGGACCAAACUCCUACGGGAGGCAGCAGUGAGGAAUAUUGGUCAAUGGCCGAGAGGCUGAACCAGCCAAGUCGCGUGAGGGAUGAAGGUUCUAUGGAUCGUAAACCUCUUUUAUAAGGGAAUAAAGUGCGGGACGUGUCCCGUUUUGUAUGUACCUUAUGAAUAAGGAUCGGCUAACUCCGUGCCAGCAGCCGCGGUAAUACGGAGGAUCCGAGCGUUAUCCGGAUUUAUUGGGUUUAAAGGGUGCGUAGGCGGCCUUUUAAGUCAGCGGUGAAAGUCUGUGGCUCAACCAUAGAAUUGCCGUUGAAACUGGGGGGCUUGAGUAUGUUUGAGGCAGGCGGAAUGCGUGGUGUAGCGGUGAAAUGCAUAGAUAUCACGCAGAACCCCGAUUGCGAAGGCAGCCUGCCAAGCCAUUACUGACGCUGAUGCACGAAAGCGUGGGGAUCAAACAGGAAUAGAUACCCUGGUAGUCCACGCAGUAAACGAUGAUCACUAGCUGUUUGGGAUACACUGUAAGCGGCACAGCGAAAGCGUUAAGUGAUCCACCUGGGGAGUACGCCGGCAACGGUGAAACUCAAAGGAAUUGACGGGGGCCCGCACAAGCGGAGGAACAUGUGGUUUAAUUCGAUGAUACGCGAGGAACCUUACCCGGGUUUGAACGCAUUCGGACCGAGGUGGAAACACCUUUUCUAGCAAUAGCCGUUUGCGAGGUGCUGCAUGGUUGUCGUCAGCUCGUGCCGUGAGGUGUCGGCUUAAGUGCCAUAACGAGCGCAACCCUUGCCACUAGUUACUAACAGGUAAAGCUGAGGACUCUGGUGGGACUGCCAGCGUAAGCUGCGAGGAAGGCGGGGAUGACGUCAAAUCAGCACGGCCCUUACAUCCGGGGCGACACACGUGUUACAAUGGCGUGGACAAAGGGAAGCCACCUGGCGACAGGGAGCGAAUCCCCAAACCACGUCUCAGUUCGGAUCGGAGUCUGCAACCCGACUCCGUGAAGCUGGAUUCGCUAGUAAUCGCGCAUCAGCCAUGGCGCGGUGAAUACGUUCCCGGGCCUUGUACACACCGCCCGUCAAGCCAUGGGAGCCGGGGGUACCAGAAGUCCGUAACCGCGAGGAUCGGCCUAGGGUAAAACUGG
rnacentral:rRNA from 1 species